rnacentral:snRNA from 1 species
GGCUCUUUGGAGACAUCCGAUAAAAUUGGAAUGAUACAUAGUAGAUUAGCAUGGCCCUGAGCAAGGACGACAGCCACAAAUCGAGAAAUAUACAUAAUUGAG